rnacentral:rRNA from 1 species
AGAGAUGGAUUGGUGCCUUCGGGAACUCUGGACACAGGUGCUGCAUGGCUGUCGUCAGCUCGUGUCGUGAGAUGUUGGGUUAAGUCCGUAACGAGCGCAACCCUUGUCCUUAGUUACCAGCACGUUAUGGUGGGCACGUCUAAGGAGACUGCCGGUGACAAACCGGAGGAAGGUGGGGAGUGACGUCAAGUCAUCAUGGCCCUUACGGCCUGGGCUACACACGUGCUACAAUGGUCGGUACAAAGGGUUGCCAAGCCGCGAGGUGGAGCUAAUCCCAAUAAAACCGAUCGUAGUCCGGAUCGCAGUCUGCAACUCGACUGCGUGAAGUCGGAAUCGCUAGUAAUCGUGAAUCAGAAUGUCACGGUGAAUACGUUCCCGGGCCUU